rnacentral:rRNA from 1 species
GUGCCAGCAGCCGCGGUAAUACGUAGGGUGCAAGCAUUAAUCGGAAUUAUUGGGCGUAAAGGGCGCGUAGGCGGAGAUGUAAGUCAGAUGUGAAAUCCCGGGGCUCAACCCCGGAACUGCAUUUGAAACUGCAUUUCUAGAGGAUAGGCGGAGAAAACGGAAUUCCACAAGUAGCGGUGAAAUGCGUAGAUAUGUGGAAGAACACCUGUGGCGAAAGCGGUUUUCUAGCUUAUUCCUGACGCUGAGGCGCGAAAGCAAGGGGAUCAAACAGGAUUAGAUACCCUGGUAGUCCUUGCCGUAAACGAUGUAUACUUGGUGUAACUGGACUCAACCCCAGUUGUGCCGAAGCUAACGCGAUAAGUAUACCGCCUGGGGAGUACGCACGCAAGUGUAAA